UGCCAAGGUGGUGCCCAUUAUUGCUCACAGGCGUGGAGCACUUCGAGCAAAGAGCACCUUCGGUGGAAAUCUGAGCUUCUUCACAGCCCAGGAGGUCCUCAGGCACCUACUGCCACCUGGGAUGAUCAAACGAGCACGGACUCCCAUGCUAGCUGGUUUAUUAUCUGUACCCUCCAGCAUGUAAAGUCCACGCAGGCAGGCCACAUAUGUCACCCUCACCCGGUAAUAUACCCGCAGGCCUGGAACAGUGCCUGGCACAGAGCGGGCCCUUGGUGAACAGGGGCUCGGUGAAUGAAUACGCAGGGUCGUGUGUGUGAA